CCCGCUGAACUUAAGCAUAUCAGUAAGCAGAGGAAAAGAAACUAACGAGGAUUCCCUUAGUAACGGCGAGUGAACCGGGAUUAGUCCAGCGCUUAAUCGUAUUGCUUUUGCUUUAUGAGGUGUAGCGUAUAAACGAUUCUUUUUGUGUGACGAUCUGGUUUAAGUCUCCCUUGAAUGGGGUUCCGUAGAGGGUGGAAGGCCCUUGGAAUCAGAUCUUGGCAUGAAUGGAGUUGUUUUGGAGUCGGGUUGUUUGGUAUCGCAGCCCGAAGUAGGUGGUAGACUUCAUCUAAGACUAAAUAUGACUACGAAACCGAUAGCAAACAAGUACUGUGAAGGAAAGUUUAAAAGCACUUUGAAGAGAGAGUUAAAUAGAACGUGAAACCGAUAGGAUGGAAACGGAUAGAGCCGACGUAUCAGAUUUGUAUUUAGCCGUUGGAUUACUUCGUCGGCUUUGCGACACUCCCUUUGGUUGUGUUGUCUUGUUGGUUGUUGUGGUCCGGUGGUGAAUUUGCAGAUUGCUUGCGCUGAGUGCUGUGCAGUAGCGUUCGGGUAUGCACUUUGAGGUCUCUCCCUGGAGAGUAACUUUGGUGCAUGGAUGAUUGUUUAUUGUUCAGUGAUUGUAGACUGUGGUUUACGAGCCAGUUUGUGGUGUUUGAUGGACUAUUCCAUGACUGCUUGCAGUUGUGUUUAGUUUUUUGAAUGUUGCGGAUGUAGGAUCCCAUUGUCAUCUCGGUGUAUUAGUUGGUCAUCUAUUUGACCCGUCUUGAAACACGG
rnacentral:rRNA from 1 species